rnacentral:rRNA from 1 species
CGGGGGGCAGCAGUGAGGAAUAUUGGACAAUGGGCGCAAGCCUGAUCCAGCCAUGCCGCGUGCAGGAAGACGCAUCUAUGGUGUGUAAACUGCUUUUGUACAGGAAGAAACACUCCCUCGUGAGGGAGCUUGACGGUACUGUAAGAAUAAGGAUCGGCUAACUCCGUGCCAGCAGCCGCGGUAAUACGGAGGAUCCAAGCGUUAUCCGGAAUCAUUGGGUUUAAAGGGUCCGUAGGCGGUUUAAUAAGUCAGUGGUGAAAGCCCAUCGCUCAACGAUGGAACGGCCAUUGAUACUGUUAGACUUGAAUUAUUAGGAAGUAACUAGAAUAUGUAGUGUAGCGGUGAAAUGCUUAGAUAUUACAUGGAAUACCAAUUGCGAAGGCAGGUUACUACUAAUGGAUUGACGCUGAUGGACGAAAGCGUGGGGAGCGAACAGGAUUAGAUACCCCGGU